GGAAGUUCCUUCGGGGAGGAGUAAGGCCCUGUCAUUUGUCUUUGUUCCCUUAACUCUUCAGCUUUGAUGAGCAGGACCACCUCAGGAAGAAGGUCAGGAAGGCUUUUAAAAUUCUAUAUUUGUUAAAUUCAUAAUUUUGAUCUGAUAUUCAUAGGUUAAUAUGUUUUUCUGAUUACACUCUGCUUUGUCCUAAGGCCAAUUUACAAGGGUUAACUCUCAAUCUAAUAGGUUUUUUUUAAAAAAUAACCAACAAGGCUUUUGUCUGUUUGCUUUGUGUGGGUGCACGGGUGUACUGUCCGUCCUCAUGUACUGCCAUGUCUACAUACAUUUGGUACCAAAAAUUGACUUAUGAGCUCAUAAAUUAAAAUUUUUAAAAAAUGGAUCCAAAUACCUUUGGUUAAUAUGAUUUAAAAGGUUCAAUUUAAAUUGGUAAAAUAAAUAAAAGUACAAAUACCUUUAAAGUUACUAAUGCACAGUUUUGUUUCUAGGUUGUAGGUUGUGAAACAGUUGUUAAUAAAAUGUUAAUGUCUGUAAAGUGUCUAAUAGCUAUUGUCUCUAGGAUUUUUCUUCAACAGGAAAAAAAUUACUAAUGCUAUUCAAUACACUUGUCUGAUACCUUGCUUUUUUUAAUAUUUGUUUUUUAGUUGUAGUUGGACACAAUACCUUUAUUUAUUUAUUUAUUUUUAUGUGGUGCUGAGGAUUGAACCCAGGGCCUUGCACUUUCUAGGCAAGCGCUCUACCACUGAGCCACAACCCCAGCCCAAUACUUUGCUUUUUAAAAAAAAUGUAAAUUAGAUCUGACAUGUAUAAAAUUAAUCAUGGAUGUGUUUGUUAGAGACAUCUGACUGGUUUACAAAGUUAAAUGCUAACUGUUAAAUAUGAUAUCAAGUACUCUUAACUCCUUAAAAUCCAUAAAGUAAAAUACGUAAACAUUGUUAACAUUUUCAUAUAUUGGUAAAUUUAAAAAAUUUUAAAUUACCUUAUGUUGUCACAAAAACAAGGUUACUAAAAGUUAAAAGUCCCAACAGGUAUAAUUCAAGAGUAUAUAAUUCAAGGUUUCAACUACAUUUCAAUUAAAGUUCUGUAAAUAACAAAAUAUUUCAUCUUAUUAAAAUGGAUUAAUUUAUCUAAUUCAGAAAUUUAUAAAGGUUAUUUCAAGGUAUAAACAGAAUCAAUGGAUUAAAAAUUAUUAAAAGGUUCUAAAUAUAAAAAUAUAUUUAAUAUAAAAAAUGUUUCCAGGUUUAAAAAAGUCUUUAUGGGGUUAAAGUAUAAUUAUAAUACACCUAAGUAAACAAUAAAAGGUCUAAUUAAGUAAUAUAAAUGUCUAUAAACAAAGGAAAAAUAUUAAAAGGUUUAUAUAUAUCUAAGUUGGUUAUACAUGUAACACAAAUAGUUAAAACUAUUCAAGGUUGUUCCCUAAAGACACAUAUUAAUGUAUUGAUAUAUUUAUAUGUUAAAAUGACAAAAAUUUCUAAAAAUAUUUAUUACAUUGUGUCUGUUAAGUUUUAUUCUCUAGAGCAACUAAUCUUAGCGAAAUUAAGGUUUGUACAUCUAUGGUUAAACAGCAACUGUUAUUUUAAAAUAUUGUUCUACAUUACAGAGUCCAGAUUUUUCUUUAAAGGCUAAACUUUGUUAAUAUUAAAAAAAUCAAUGAAAUUGUAGUACAUUACUCUUUUUACAUAUAAAUGUGUUCAUAUCUUUCAGGUAUACAAGUCCCUAAGGUAAAAGAUUUAAAGGAACAUUUUAUCAAGCUGGUGUUCUCCAAACUAAAUAUAAUGUCUGUAGUGGUAAUUUUGUCUGUGAUGGUAAUUUUGUCUAUAAUGGUAAUUUUAAACUUAUAAGGAUAACAGAUUUUAUUGGGGAUUUAUUUAUAUCAUUUGAUGUUUUGUAACCAAACCUUGUGUUAUCUUUUACACUGGGAUAUAUAAAAUUUAAAAGAUGAGAGCCUAAUCUGUUUAAAGGUUAAUAUUAUAAAACAUUUUGCCACUUUUCCACACAAAAGGAAAGUUAAGAGCUCUCAGCCUUUCUUGAUGCAUGUUUUAAAUGUAUGUCAUAUUGUGUUAGCUAACAUUCAUACAGACUUAGGAAACAAUAUAUAUAAACUUUAUAAAAUGAUAUCUAAAAAAGGAGACAAAGGUCAGCUUCAGAAUUAGCAAAUUUUACCUAAGAUUUGUGAAGAGCCCUGCCUUACCUGAGAUAAAACUCUGCCUCCCACCUUACAACAUGUCAGAAUGACUUCAAAGUAGGCCAGACCUCGGUAGAUUUAAAGUUCUAUUCAAAGAUUGAUUUUAUUGUAAAGAUUACUAUGAUCUCAAAUAGGAGAUACAAUGUAUAACUCAACCAAGGUUCAAUAUUAUAUACAAGCUAAAUAUGUUUUUACUAUUGUUAAUUUCACUUUAUAUUUCCAUUAUAACUGAUGCCUGUUUUACAGAGGUAAUACUUUAAAAACACACAACCUAAAUUAAUUUGAGAUAUUAAGCCAUCAUCUGUAGACAGAUAGUAAUUAAAAGGGAUUGAAUUAACUGUAAAGAGGCUGGGGUUAUGGCUCAGCAGUAAAGUGCUUGCCUUGCAUGUGUGAGGCACUGGGUUCGAUCCUCAGCAUCACAUGAAUAAAUAAAUAAAAUAAAGAUAUUGUGUCAUGUACAGUUUAAAACAAAAAAUUAUUAACAUUAAAGUUAAAGUCCAGUACUCUUAGUUUAAGACUGACUUGCUGGAUGUUUAAGGCCAAGGCUUAAAAAUUAAAGUUAAAAUAAAGAGGACAAGAAAACCAAUAUUUGCCUCUUGCCCUCUGAGUCAGCCUGAAUCCAGGAAAAAGGGGAAGAGCUUUGCAACUCCAGGCCACAUAACCUCCCGAUAAGGCAUAUUGAGACCACUGGAGAACAGAAAGCCAAUGAGUGUACAUGCUGUAAAAGAGGAGUGUCAUUGAAAAGGGGAGACAUGCCUGAUGCUUCCAAGGGAAGCCACAUGGUCAGCAAGACUUGACCCAUCCAAACACAGAUGUCACUAGCAGAGCUAAAAUGCUGCUCAUGAGUUCCCCAAGAGUAUCUCCCAAGGGAACUCAGCUGACUCUUAACAAUAGAUAGGAACAAGGUCAGUUGACCAGCUUGAUCUUAAACACCUAGCAAAAACAGUUAAAACCAAAGUACAGCCAUUCCUGGACAUUUAAAAAAAAAGUUAUUUUAAUGUAACAGAAGAUGUUCGCUUGUGUUAGCAACCCCCAAAAUAAGUAAGACUGGCGAUAACAAAAGAGAGAUUCUUAGGCAAAAGUGCCUGAUAACUAUCUAUAGAAACUGCCAAAACAAGAAGUUUUUAUCAGUUUAAGGCCUAGAGAUCGUCCUAACUUCCUACACAGGUAGACUUGAUCAAUGUUUGCUAGUAUAAUUAUCUAGCCCUAAAUAACAAAAAGAUCCUUACUGAACACAGAGGUCAUGCCAAUAAAGAUAUUUUAUAAGAAUCAGAUGACAUUACCUAACAUAACUAAAUGUUGUGUCUACAUUCCUGAUAACUCUGACAAGGUUAAAGAUCUAUGUUCCCUAAAAAGGGCCUUAUUAGGCUUUGUUAGGCCUUGUUAUGGGGACAAUUUCCCAGGCCUUCCACCUCCUGGUAAACAAUUAUGAAUUUCUAUCAUUUUCAUGAUAUUCAUGGACAGGUUCCAGAUGCUACAACUGCUAUUUUGUAUUAAUCUUAUUUCAAUACUCAUGUCUUUUUGUUUGGCUCAUAGAAGGCCCAACCCCAGGUGAAUUUACAACCUGUUCUUCCUGAACCAAAUUAUUACCAUAAACUCCUUGACCCACUCAAUUUCUAAAAGGGGACUCCAAACUUCUUGCCCCACUGUACAUUGCCCCCUCUCAGCUCAAAGUAGCAAGAAUGGUCAUCCUCCUUUUUCCUUACAGCAGUAGGAAGUCCCUAACAAACAUUAGAGGGGAAAUUAUGGUAAGUAUAGAUGUUCACCAAUGUCUAGCUCAGGAAGAUGUGCCUGGGGAAUUAAUCCCAAGAUCACCCGGGUGAUCUCCAAGAGAGAGACACUUACUUGCUUCUACAGCCCAACUUAUAAGUGGGACAACUCCCCUUUUACCAAAAAUUGUGCUUCCUGGGUCCACUUUGAUCAACCACUAAGCCAUACUUUCUUGUUCCUACUGAAGGAACUCAGUUUGCCUGCAUGUCUGGACUAACUUCUUGCCUAAAUCUCCCAACUGUCAUUAACUCUGAACUAUGUGUCACAACCCAUCUUUUUCCUCAAACCUACUAUUUUGAUGGAGUAGAAGAAAGAAAACACCUGGACUUAUUAGAAGGCCAGGGCCCACUGAUUUACCAACACAGACGGGCUGCCUUCAUUUUAGUUCCCCUCCUGGCUGGCUUGGGACUAGCUGGAUCUACUGUUUUAGGAACUGCAGCUCUUAUUCAGGCUCUGAAAAUUUUAAGUCCCUUGGCUACCAAAUAGACUUAGGAGAACUAGAAAGGUCAAUUUCCAAACUAGAAGCUUCACUAGAUUCUCUGGCAGAAAUGGUCUUACAAAAUAGACAGGGCCUAGAUCUUCUCUUUUUAAAAUAAGGAGGACUUUGUAUGGCCCUAGGGGAAACUUGUUGUUUCUAUACAAACCAUUCUGGGAUAAUAAAAGACAGUUUGGCACUAGUGAGAAACAGGUUUUUUUUGUUUUGUUUAGGAAAAAAAUACACGAGAAGUCUCAGGUAAUUGGUUCCAAAACCUAUUCUCAUGGUCCCCUUGGUUGACUACCAUCAUCUCAGCCAUAGCUUUGCCCUUAGUUCUUCUCUUGAUUGCGAUAACUGUAGGACUCUGCCUCUUAAAAAACUCUCCAAAAUCAUAUACACAAGAGUGUAGGUGAGGUCCGAUUAUGGUCUUGUGAGCCCUGGAUGGUCCCUUAGAAAAAAGGGAAGAAACUAAGGCAUAAGGAUGUGCAAGAUUGACAUCAAACCUACUAAAACCAGUGGGGAAUGUGAUAGUCAAGCCAAAGUGACUCCAUUUUGUAAAACAACUGUGCCAAAUAGAAAGAUCAUGACUGGGGAAAGUUGUUCUUUUCCUUUUACUACAGAAACCCUUAAGAACACGGAACUACCUAAUGGGGCACUGUUUCUGUAACUAGGGUAAUGGGGCUGUGUUUCUGUAACUGGGGUGACUGGGCUGUGAUUGGUUAGGCUUCCCGCCACCUGACUGCCCUCUCCCGCUUCUGUACCUGGCUGGCUUGCAUUGGCUGGACCCCCGAACAUCCUUUUUGCAGUUUUCAGGCUUAUAAGGAGCGCCCUUGUUAUUGUUUGGGGCUGAACAGGGGAAUAGCUUCAUGUUCUGGUCAGUUGCCACUAGUGUGCUUCAGUAGAGGCUUGAUUCAAUUAAAUGUGAGUGGUCUGGAAGUCAGUUUAUGAAACCCCAGGACGAUGCUUUAACUAUAACACUACCACUGAGCUACAGCCCCAGCCCCGAUAUGCCAUUCUUUUUAUGGCUGAGUAAUACUCCACUGUUUAUCACAUUUUCAUUUGUCAAGAGCCAUCCGUGGACUAUAUGUGGACCAAAUCAGCAUGGAAACCCACUGAAUAGAAAAUCUGCUAUUUGGGAACUCCCAGUGGCAAUCCCACUGGUCAGAUCGCCCAGGUAAGUGUGAGUCCUACUCAGCUCUGCCAGGUCCCUCAGAGCAUGGGAGAUGGGGUGACCUACUGCAGCCACACAGCCCCUCUGAGAAGGGUGUAGCCUGCCAAGAUGCCAGUCAACCUGUUGACUGCAAGGCCUCAUGAAGCAGGACUCCACCCCGAAACCUCAUCCCUGCCUUUGAUGUGCCCCUUAAGUAAAACCACAGAACCAUUUUCUAAUUGUUCAGCUCCAGCUCCUGUGCAGGCUGGACCUAGCAAUGCUCUGCAUUUAAAACUAUUUUUCUGACUUUGUCUUUUAUUUCUUUACUAAUUAUUCCAGACUCUAUUUUCUCAGGUAGCAUAUACCCUCUUGGGCAGGAAAAUGUACCCUGGCAAGUCACUGACAGCCUCACGGUAACUCAUUGUCUACCCACCGACAGCCAUCUAGGUUGAUCCUGUACUGUGGAUGUGCAGUAAUAAACCCGAGCAGGCAGGAAUCUCUGCAACAUGCUGAUGGGCCACACUGGAGGCCUACUUUUAGUUUUCUGAGGACCCACCACACUGUUCUCCAUAAUGGCUCUACUGACUUAGGUUGCCACCAAGAGUGUGAGAGACUUCCCCUUUCUCCACACCCUUGCCAGCAUUUCUUUUGUGUUUUGGAUACCAGACAUUUCGAUGGGUUGAGAUCAUAUGUCACUUUGGUAUUGAUUUCCUUCAAAGCCAUAGUUUUUGAGCAUUUUUCCAUAAAUUAAUGAACCAUUUGGAUUUUUUAGGGCUAUCAUAUCAUUUGCCCAUUUUAAAAAAAAAAAUAUUUAUUUUUUAGUUGUAUAUGGACACAAUACCUUUAUUUUAUUUAUUUUUAUGUGGUGCUGAGGCUCAAACCCAGUGCCUUGUGAGUGCUCUACCACCGAAUGGUAGAGUGCUCUACCACUGAGCCACACCCCAGCCAUCAUUCACCCAUUUUUAAUCAGAUUUUUCAUUCCUAUUCUGGAUUUCUGGAUAUCAAUCCUUUGUCGGAUGAGUAGGUUGUAAGGUUUUUUUUUUCUUUCUCAUUUUGUAGGUUGCGUCUUCCCUCUGUUGAUGGCUUCCUUGGAUGUGCAGAAGCUUCUCAGUUUGAUACAAUCCCGUUGUUAUAUUCUCACCUUCUGAUCUCUAGGUGCCAAUGCAUGUCCCCCUGGGCCCACAGAGCAAACAGGUGACAGCCACAGCAGGAUACAGGAGCCCUGGCCACCGCCUCCUGUUCUACCUGCACCUCUGGCCAUCUGGGCCAGGUGCAGGAGGCGGGCACGCAGGCCACUGCAGGCAAAGCAUGGGGCCAACCAGCUGGAGUGCCCAGGGGCCACCAUCCACUGCAGAUGGUGCAGCCAGACCAGGCUUGGUGCUGCCACACUUGUGGCCAGGCCCUAACCUGCAAACCCCACAAUGAGCACUGCAGGGCCUCCUCUCAGAGUCUCACACAGACCCGCCAAAUUUGAGGUUCCAUGAGGGCCCAAGGGGUGUUAGAAAAAUACUCACACACUUGGAGAUUUUGAAGAUAAAGCUGGGGUCAGGUGGAGAAGCAGAUCUAGAGUUAAGCCAGCAAGCUUUAUUUAUGUAUGUCUCCUUAGGUUAAAGACUAUGCAAGCAUUAUUCUUUGUACGCCGGAAAGUUACAGAACUAGAGACAUCUAUGCAGCUGUUCCACAGUUGAGUGUGCAAUGUCAGGAGCUUUGCGGAGCGCUCAAGGGGCCCAUUGUUUAAAGUUACUGUUAAGCAGACAGGCCGGGGCAGACGUGCUGGUGAUGCUGAUUGUCUAGGAGGACAGUUACUCUGUCCCCAGGAGCUGUGUACCUGGGGUCAAGGCCAAAGCUGAUAAGACUCCUCCACAGAGCCUCCUCAUGCAGGGCGUUGCCAGAGGAACUAGGCAUCCUGUGUUCCCACCAUCAGGCUCACCACAGUCAUGAGGUCACCAGAGACCCAAAUCUCAGUCACUGCUCUCCCAUUCUCUGUCACCACUUUCCACAUUUUUCCCUUUUUAUUUUUUAAAUGAAGACCUGCGGCCACAGCUAGCAGGGCAGAGCCGAGUCCUGCCUGGCUAUGAUGAAGAUUCCGGAAAACUUCCACCUGAGCAGAGUGCUGAGGCACUUGUGGUCCCCCUGGAGCUCACUCGUACGCCCAGAGGCCUCAGGGACUUGUAGUCUGCCCAAGUGACAUUGAUAUCAUAGAAAGUUGACCCCCUCAUAGGCUGGGUUAGGAAAUGUUUUCUACUCCUCAAUUUUUCAGAAAUUUUGAAAAGGGGCAUCUCAGAACAAAGUGGCAAUGACAAGACUGCUUUAUUGAACAUCAGAAUAAAUAACAGAAGAGAGAUGAAGGAGAUACACCACAGAGUGGCAGCAGAGAGACCCCAUGAAAACGGAACCACUUGAAAAACGUCAACCAAACUGACCGACCAUUUACCACAGGAGUAAGGAGAAAAAAGAAGACUCAGACCCGAAGGCGGGGACAUUACUUAUGGCUCCACAGAAAUAGAGGAUUGUGGGGAGCCAUUCUCACACGUGACUGGGCAACUCCCGGACUGGGUGUGAGGCGCUCUGGCUAAACUGUGUCGGAGCUUUCCCGGCCCUCUCCUGGUGCGAGAGCCUGUCCGUGUGGGGGUGUGACUGACCACUGACCCUGGGGCCAAUCACUGACCCUGACCUUGGAGUGCUGCCCCCCUCAACCUUCAUUGGAUGGAAUUCUCCCCUGAAUUUCUUGUUCCCCAAUAAAAGGCCCCUCCCUGGCGUGCUCUCUCUCUCUCCUGCUAGCCCUGAGCAAUCCCUGCUGCCCUACCGGGUGGUUCGAGGUGUGAGCCAGAGGGAGAGCCGUCUCGGACCUGGUCAUAGAAAAAGGUAAUUGAGUCUGUGUGUUUAUUUCGAUCUCACUAGCUAACUUUAUGCCAAGAACCUCUUUAAUGAAACCAGUGCGCUGGUCGCAUGGUGGAAGAGGAUGGAAGGAAUUACGGGACAGAGCCUCGUGCCUGCAGCUGCCCACACCAUGUGAAAUGGACACUCCCAGAGACACACGGGCUACCAAGAGUAGAGCAGGAAGAACAAAAGCUGAGCAGGUUCUUAACUGCGAGAAGAUUGAGUCAGCAAUUGAAAAUCUACCAACGAAGAACAGCUCAGGACUGUGCGGCUCCACUGGUG
rnacentral:lncRNA from 1 species